rnacentral:lncRNA from 1 species
GUGGAAUAUAGAUGCUCUGGACGUGUCCACUCCUGGAGCUUCUCUAAGGGAGAGCAAUAUCUGCCACAGAACAAAAUACUGGAAGUUUUGUUGUGCCGGAUGAAGAAGAGGAAGGGAUGAUCGGCAGUGAAGUCGGGAACGAUCAUAGCACAACGGAGCACCAUCACUCCUGCUGUGGCAGCUGCUGCUUCAGUGCCUUCUUCGUUGACCUCCACGAAGGACUUGUGAACCACUUCAGAGAGCACAAGCUCGUUACCAGAGGAGAUUCCUGAGAAGUUCGCCAUCCGUAAGUCAAACGCAUCACGCAUUCCCAUGUUGCUCAGGAUGGGUUUCAGAUCAUAAUUUUCUUCCAGUUUAAAUCUGGGUAAAGACAGCCUCACUUCUGUACUGUCCAUCAUUUCAGGAUUGAUCCAAUCCAUCAGCUUCUCGUAUGUAAGUUCUCUUUCCAGCUU